rnacentral:misc_RNA from 1 species
AAUUAUCAACCUUGCUCGCUUGAGUUAGGCUUGGAUGUGAGGGCUUUGCUGGCUUCCUUCAGUGGAUGGUCUGCUCCCUUUAAAUGCAUUAGUGGGAUCUCUUGUGGACCGUCACUUGGUGUGAUAAUUAUCUAUGCCAUUUGAUUUUGAAGCAAAACUUAUGAGAACCUGCUUAUAACCGUCCUUUCGAGGACAAUCUUUGACA